rnacentral:tRNA from 1 species
GGAGGGUACAGCUCAGUGGUAGAGCGCAUGCUCAGCAUGCACAAGGUCAUGGGUUCAAUCCCCAGUCCCUCCA